rnacentral:misc_RNA from 1 species
AAGUCGUAACAAGGUUUCCGUAGGUGAACCUGCGGAAGGAUCAUUAACACGUAUCCAACGUUAAACAACCCUGUGAACUUUCAACGCUCUUGUAGCCCCAGAGGAACAGCAAUCCCGGUAAAUCAAUGGCGGAAAAGUUUUGAUUCGGGACCUCUGUCCAAAAGGUAUCAAGUUACAAUCGAGCAGAGCAGUGGCAUGGUUUCCCUAAGCAGUGCAGAAGGAUCCACUGAGUAAGGAUAACGCAUCACGGUUGCCAGAGGUCGAUCACCGGCGCGCGCCCCCUCAUUCACCCCUUGCCCUCUCAAGCCUCGCGGAAACGCCGGGCAUAAAAACCGAACAACUGUUAACAAUGGAUAUCUUGGUUCUC